CCUACGGGAGGCAGCAGUGGGGAAUAUUGCACAAUGGGCGCAAGCCUGAUGCAGCCAUGCCGCGUGUGUGAAGAAGGCCUUCGGGUUGUAAAGCACUUUCAGCGGGGAGGAAGGCGGUGAGGUUAAUAACCUCAUCGAUUGACGUUACCCGCAGGAGAAGCACCGGCUAACUCCGUGCCAGCAGCCGCGGUAAUACGGAGGGUGCAAGCGUUAAUCGGAAUUACUGGGCGUAAAGCGCGCGCAGGCGGUCUGUCAAGUCGGAUGUGAAAUCCCCGGGCUCAACCUGGGAACCGCAUUCGAAACUGGCAGGCUAGAGUCUUGUAGAGGGGGGUAGAAUUCCAGGUGUAGCGGUGAAAUGCGUAGAGAUCUGGAGGAAUACCGGUGGCGAAGGCGGCCCCCUGGACAAAGACUGACGCUCAGGUGCGAAAGCGUGGGGAGCAAACAGGAUUAGAUACCCGGGUAGUC
rnacentral:rRNA from 1 species